ACUCCGAAAUGGCAUUGGAAACUACCUUGCUCGAGGGUUGGAGGGGGGACUGGAAUGCUUGGUGUAGCAGUGAAAUGCGUAGAUAUCAAGUGGAACACCAGUGGCGAAGGCGAGUCCCUGGACAACUCCUGACACUGAGGCACGAAAGCUAGGGGAGCAAACAGGAUUAGAUACCCUGGUAGUCCUAGCCGUAAACGGUGCAUGUUUGCUGUAAAAGGAAUCGACCCCUUUUGUGGCGGAGCCAACGCGUUAAACAUGCCGCCUGGGAAGUACGGUCGCAAGAUUAAAACUCAAAGAAAUUGACGGGGGCCUGCACAAGCGGUGGAGUAUGUGGCUCAAUUCGAUGCAACGCGAAGAACCUUACCUGGCCUUGACAUGUACGUAGUAGAAGGGUGAAAGCCUGACGAGAUAGCAAUAUCAGCGUACACAGGUGCUG
rnacentral:rRNA from 1 species